GAUGAAGAACGUAGCGAAAUGCGAUAAGUAAUGUGAAUUGCAGAAUCCAGUGAAUCAUCGAAUCUUUGAACGCACAUUGCGCCCGCCAGCAUUCUGGCGGGCAUGCCUGUUCGAGCAUCAUUUCAACCCUCGACCUCCCUUUGGGGAAGUCGGCGUUGGGGACCGGCAGCACACCGCCGGCCCUGAAAUGGAGUGGCGGCCCGUCCGCGGCGACCUCUGCGUAGUAAACCAACUCGCACCGGAACCCCGACGUGGCCACGCCGUAAAACACCCAACUUCUGAACGUUGACCUCGAAUCAGGUAGGACUACCCGCUGAACUUAAGCAUAUCAAUAAGCGGAGGA
rnacentral:misc_RNA from 1 species